rnacentral:rRNA from 1 species
UAGGGAAUCUUCCACAAUGGACGCAAGUCUGAUGGAGCAACGCCGCGUGAGUGAAGAAGGUUUUCGGAUCGUAAAGCUCUGUUGCUGGUGAAGAAGGAUAGAGGUAGUAACUGGCCUUUAUUUGACGGUAAUCAACCAGAAAGUCACGGCUAACUACGUGCCAGCAGCCGCGGUAAUACGUAGGUGCCAGCAGCCGCGGUAAUACGUAGGUG